rnacentral:rRNA from 1 species
GUGGGGAAUAUUGCGCAAUGGGCGAAAGCCUGACGCAGCGAUGCCGCGUGGGUGAUGAAGGCCUUCGGGUCGUAAAGCCCUGUCAGGUGGGAAUAAGUGCAGGAAGGUUAACGGCCUUUCUGCUUGACUGUACCACCAGAGGAAGCUCCGGCCAACUCCGUGCCAGCAGCCGCGGUAAUACGGAGGGAGCAAGCGUUGUUCGGAAUCACUGGGCGUAAAGGGCGCGUAGGCGGUUUGAUAAGUCUGAUGUGAAAGCCCUCGGCUCAACCGAGGAAUUGCAUCAGAAACUAUCUAACUUGAGUCCGGGAGAGGGAAGUGGAAUUCCCAGAGUAGCGGUGAAAUGCGUAGAUACUGGGAAGAACACCGGUGGCGAAGGCGGCUUCCUGGACCGGUACUGACGCUGAAGUGCGAAAGCUAGGGGAGCGAAAGGGAUUAGAUACCCCAGUAGUCC